CUGAGGCUCAGUCACUGUAUUCCAGGCACUGUUCCAGGCUCUGGGGAUAGGGGUAACAUCCUGUUGUUGCAGAGCUUACAUCACAGUGGACAGAUCAGUGGAUAACCUAGCAAAUCAACAGAAUGACCCAUGCACAAGUGGGAUAAAUAGAAAACAAAUGAUGCAGGUGCUGUUCAAGAAUUUCAUAUUUAUUCAAAUAGCAAGAAGAUGCUGA
rnacentral:lncRNA from 1 species